GACGAACGCUGGCGGCGUGCUUAACACAUGCAAGUCGAACGGGCCUGUCUUCUUUUUUGGGGGUGGGUUGAGUGGCGAACGGGUGAGUAUCACGUGAGUAACCUGCCCUUCGGUCCUGGAUAACCGCUUGAAAGGGCGGCUAAUACGGGGUGGUCCGGUUGGUCCGCAUGGGCUGGUCGGGAUAGAUUCACUGUUUUUGGUGUUUCGGCGGGGGAUGGGCUCGCGGCCUAUCAGCUUGUUGGUGGGGUGAUGGCCUACCAAGGCGGUGACGGGUAGCCGGCCUGAGAGGGGGGGCGGCCACACUGGGACUGAGAUACGGCCCAGACUCCUGCGGGAGGCAGCAGUGGGGGGUAUUGCACAAUGGGCGGAAGCCUGAUGCAGCGACGUCGCGUGAGGGAUGGAGGCCUUCGGGUUGUGAACCUCUGUUUCCGGUGGUGAAGGCCCUGUCCGUGUGGUGGGGUUGACGGUAGCCGGGGAUGAAGCGCCGGCUAACUACGUG
rnacentral:rRNA from 1 species